UUUCACUUAAGCCUUAUAAUGACCAGAUGAGAUAUGUAUGAAUUAUUAUCCUCAUUCUUCUUUCAGAUGAGAUAUAAUAAAAUGAGAAAAAUGAAACUUCAGGAGGUUAUGUAAAUAUCUCAAGGUCACACAUGAGCAGUGGCAGAUCCAUAGAAAGAAUCGGAUUAUCUGAGUCCACCAUGACCACCAAGCUUUACAUACAGUAUGGCAAGCUGCUCAGUAUAACUCCACAGGAAAGAAACAAUUAAGCCUGGGUCCUCUGGGGAUAUCGAGGAAGGUUGAGAAUAUCAGAGGGAUGCACAGACAUGGACCAAACGCGGUUAAGCUGUAAGAGCAGGAGGUACAGCAUAAACAAGGACAUGGAGGCAUGAAUAUGGUGAAAUUUGGGCAGUACCUAUGGUGAAAGCAUAGGGCAUAUGUGAAAGAUGAGUUUAGGGAGGCAGGAAGGGCAUUUGUUUGCCACACUGAGUUUGUUCUUCUUUUAGACGUAUAAGAUUUUAGAUUAUGCAAUACCCAAGUAGAGGAUAAUGCUUUUCAUAUAUAUAUAUGUGUGUGUAUUAUAUAUGUGAUAUAUAUAUAUAUAUGUGUAAUAUCUCUAUCUAUCUGUCUUUUAGUAGGAUUCACUGCUCCUGGUAAAGAUAUUUUCAAGGCAGUGAUCUCUCCAACCAGCAAAACCACUGAGCAUCAAGCUAAAAUCAGAAUUAUAAGAAGCAACAUUACAACUGAUGCCACAGAAAUGGAAAUUAUUAUAAGAGAAAAAAUUCAACAGUUGUAUCCCAACAGAUUGAAUAACCUAGAUGAAAUAAAUAAAUGCCUAGAAACAUACACCUUACCAAGACUGAAUCAUGGAGAAACAGAAACAUCUGAAGAGACCUAAAAGUAGUAAGGAGAUUGGAUGAGUGAUUAAAAAUCCUCCCAUUGCAACAACAAAGCCCAGAACCAGAUGACUUCAAUGGUGAAUUCUACCAAAUGUUUUAAAAAGAAUUAAUACCAAUCUUCUUCAUCUUCCAAAACAUUGAAGCAGAGGUAACAUUUUCAAACUCAUUCCAUGAGGCCAGAUUUAACCUGUUACCAAAGACGGAUCAAGACUAUGCAAGAAAACUAAAGACCAGUAAUCCCAAUGAAUAUUGAUGCAACAAUUCCCAACAAAAUACUAGCAAACCAAAUUUAAUAGCAUAUUAAAAUAAUUAUAAUCUAUGACCAAGUAGCAUUUUUUUCUGGAAUGUAAGAGUGAUUCAACAUACAAAAAUGAAUCAAUGUAACACCUCACAUUAAUGGAAGUUUUUCAAAAACAGAUUAUCAUCUCAAUUGUUACAAAAAAAUCAUUUGACAUAAUUCCACACCUUUGUAUGAUAAAAACACCCAACAAAUUAGGAAUAGAAGAAAACUACCUAAACAUAAUAAACGCCAUAUUUUUUAAAACCUGCAGCUAACAUCAUACACACUGGUAAAUGACUGAAAGCUUUUCUUCUAAUAUAUGGAAUAAGACAAGUAUGCCUACUUUCACCCCUUCUGUUUAACAUGGUUCUAGAAAUAUAGUCAAAUCAAUUAGGUAAGAAAAAGACAAAAGGCCUUCAAAUUAGAUGGAAGAAGUAAAAUUAUCUCUGAUCACCUGAUCACUGACAACAUGAUCUUAUAUGUGAGAAAACUUAAGAAUUCCACAUGCAAAAAGAGCUAUUUUAGCAAAGUUACAAAAUAUAAAAUAAAUGCACAAAAUUCAACUGAAUUUCUAUACACUAACAAUAAAUAAUUCUAAAAGAAAAUUAAGAAACCAAACUAAAGAAAAC
ensembl:lncRNA